GCCGGGUGUGGUGGCUCACGCCUGUAAUCCCAGCAGUUUAGGAGGCUGAGGUGGGUGAAUCACUUGAGGUCAGGAGUUCAAGACCAGCCUGGCCAACAUGGUGGAACCCAUCUCUA
ensembl:misc_RNA Metazoa_SRP Metazoan signal recognition particle RNA